CGCCCAGACUCCUACGGGAGGCAGCAGUGAGGAAUAUUGGUCAAUGGUCGCGAGACUGAACCAGCCAAGUAGCGUGCAGGAUGACGGCCCUAUGGGUUGUAAACUGCUUUUAUGCGGGGAUAAAAUGCGUCACGUGUGAUGUUUUGUAGGUACCGCAUGAAUAAGGACCGGCUAAUUCCGUGCCAGCAGCCGCGGUAAUACGGAAGGUCCGGGCGUUAUCCGGAUUUAUUGGGUUUAAAGGGAGCGUAGAUGGGUUGUUAAGUCAGUUGUGAAAGUUUGCGGCUCAACCGUAAAAUUGCAAUUGAUACUGGCAGCCUUGAGUACAGUUGAGGUAGGCGGAAUUCGUGGUGUAGCGGUGAAAUGCUUAGAUAUCACGAAGAACUCCGAUUGCGAAGGCAGCGUGCCGUGCCGCCACUGACGCUGAGGCACGAAAGCGCGGGGAUCGAACAGGAUUAGAUACCCGAGUAAU
rnacentral:rRNA from 1 species